GGGGGGGGGGGGGGGCGGGCGUGGCGGAUGGGCGUCGUGCGGGAGGGCCGGUUCGGGGGUACACGGGGGGCGGACGGGUGAGUGACACUUUGGUCACCUGCGCACAACUUUGGGAUAACGCGCGGGCACUGGUGCCAAUCCUGGCUCUGUUCGCCUGCUGCAUGGGUGGGCUUGUAAAGCUCCGGCGGGUGUGGCUGGACUCGCUGCCUAUCCGCUUGGUGGGUGGGUAGUGGCCUACCAAGGCGGCGACGGGUAGCCGGCCUGAGAGGGGUACCGGACCCAUUGGGACUGAGAUACGGCCCAGACUCCUACGGGAGGCAGAAGUGGGGAAUAUUGCACAAUGGGCGCAAGCCUGAUGCAGCAACGCCGCGUGCGGGAUGACGGCCGUCGGGUUGUAAACCGCUGUCAGCAGGGACGAAGCUUUUUGUGACGGUACCUGCAGAAGAAGCACCGGCUAACUACGUG
rnacentral:rRNA from 1 species